GCCCACAAGAGAUUAUGCGAGAACAAGUCCACGUGAAGCUCUCCUUUCUCGCCGCCGCCGCCGCCGCCGUCGACGGGCUAGGGUUUCGGCGCGGAGAGCCAUGGACGCGGCUGCGCGGACCCCCCGCUCCUCCACUACAAGUACGCCGAGGUGCCGGACGCCCCGGCGCUCGCGGCCGUGUACGAGUCCCGCUGCCGCGCGCUCGCCCUCGUCGGCCGCGUCCGCGUCGGCCCCGACGGCGUCAACGCCACGGCUUCCUUGACACGGCAUUUGUCCACAAAAUUUCUCUCUUUCUUCUCCAGGAUUCCAGUAAGGAGUAUGUAUGUGAGUUGUACCAAAAGAAUGGAAAGCAGUGAUGCCAAAUAUCACCAAGACAAGAUUGCGAAACAGAGUCAGAGCUAAUAGAUUCUUCUGACUUUGGAAGACCAGCGAUUAUAAAUCAAAUUGCAUCCUCUACAAUUCCCAGUAGUAAUGGUAAGGUCUGUAUCAGUUUGCUUUUGCACACUCCUGAUAAUAUGCUAUUUUUCUGAGCAAGUAUCCCCAUCUUUUAAGCCAAUCUUACAGAAGGAUCUUGCCAUUGGAAGCAAAGGUUCAAUAAUGAGGUCAAAAUUAUCUAUGUACUUCUUUCAUACAAAGCCAAGGCAGUGAUCAGCUCGGUAAACUAAGAUCCUCUGUUUGCAUGGUUUCCGUCAGAAUGCAUCAAAUUUUAAGGGGAGAACAUCAGCACUUGCCAAGAAGCUAAAACACAUUGCCAAGCUUGUCUUCAUAGAUGCUCCACACGAGCUUUCAUUUGUAUACAGACCAAAUCCAGAUCACAAAUCUGAUCGAUCUUCAUUGCCAUCUGGCACACCAAAGAGAAAGCACUGAACUUGCGAAUCAAUUCGAUUGGGUUGUUGCUCCAUUAUCGAGCAUGAUAUGGGCCAUAUAAUUCCUACGCGACCACCCUAUAUUGAUCUAAUCAUAGAGUUCCUGUCCAAUUUUCUUUGAAUUGUUUGGGAAUAAGGCAAUGUGCUUUUCAUGUAAGUUGUAACUUGUGACAUUCUUUGAUGCAUCUCUCGUAUUAUCGUCUCUACUUCACUGCUUCGGCAUUCUGUUUGUCUCUGAGAGAACCCUACUAUAUGCUUUGCAGCCUACUUGCUAUCCCACUUCGAACUUUGUUGUUUUAAGAGUAUGCAAUUUAUGUACCUGUUGAUUUAUAGUCGAACAAUUUUGAAUUAUAAUAUUUUU